AUCUGAAUAGUUUAAUGUAAAAUGUUGGUUUGUGGUGCCAAUGAUAUAGGUUUAUUUUAGAUU
rnacentral:tRNA from 2 species